rnacentral:rRNA from 1 species
UACAGAGGUCCCAAGCGUUGUUCGGAUUCACUGGGCGUAAAGGGUGCGUAGGCGGUCGGGUAAGUCUGAUGUGAAAUCUCACAGCUUAACUGUGAAACUGCAUUGGAUACUAUUCGGCUAGAGAGUUGGAGGGGGGACUGGAAUUCUUGGUGUAGCAGUGAAAUGCGUAGAUAUCAAGAGGAACACCAGUGGCGAAGGCGAGUCCCUGGACAACUUCUGACGCUGAGGCACGAAAGCUAGGGGGAGCAAACGGG